CGGGGCAUAGCUCAGCCCGGUUUGAGCGCUACGUUCGGGACGUAGAGGCCCGAAGGUUCGAAUCCUCUCACCCCGA
rnacentral:tRNA from 1 species